GGCUACCACUUACAGAUGGACCCGCGGCGCAUUAGCUAGUUGGUGAGGUAACGGCUCACCAAGGCAACGAUGCGUAGCCGACCUGAGAGGGUGAUCGGCCACACUGGGACUGAGACACGGCCCAGACUCCUACGGGAGGCAGCAGUAGGGAAUCUUCCGCAAUGGACGAAAGUCUGACGGAGCAACGCCGCGUGAGUGAUGAAGGUUUUCGGAUCGUAAAGCUCUGUUGUUAGGGAAGAACAAGUACCGUUCGAAUAGGGCGGUACCUUGACGGUACCUAACCAGAAAGCCACGGCUAACUACGUGCCAGCAGCCGCGGUAAUACGUAGGUGGCAAGCGUUGUCCGGAAUUAUUGGGCGUAAAGGGCUCGCAGGCGGUUUCUUAAGUCUGAUGUGAAAGCCCCCGGCUCAACCGGGGAGGGUCAUUGGAAACUGGGGAACUUGAGUGCAGAAGAGGAGAGUGGAAUUCCACGUGUAGCGGUGAAAUGCGUAGAGAUGUGGAGGAACACCAGUGGCGAAGGCGACUCUCUGGUCUGUAACUGACGCUGAGGAGC
rnacentral:rRNA from 1 species